AGCGGAAUUUCUGGUGUAGCGGUGAAAUGCGUAGAUAUCAGAAGGAAGGCCGGUGGCGAAGGCGGCUUCCUGGAACAGUCCUGACACUGAGAGACGAAAGCGUGGGGAGCAAACAGGAUUAGAUACCCUGGUAGUCCACGCCCUAAACGAUGGGUACUAAGUGUGGAGGGGUUAAACCCUCCGUGCCGCAGCAAACGCAGUAAGUACCCCGCCUGGGGAGUACCGGCCGCAAGGUUGAAACUCAAAAGGAAUUGACGGGGGCCCGCACAAGCGGUGGUGCAUGGUGGUUUAAUUCGACGCAACGCGAGGAACCUUACCUA
rnacentral:rRNA from 1 species